CUCAGUAAAAUAUUUCAAAUUGUUGUAUGUUUUAUAUUUUUGUUCAGUAUAGUUAUCUGGGCUAGUUCAAGCGAUCUUCCUAAAAUUGCUAUGUGGCAAGUAGUAUUACAGAGAAACCAUGUUUGUUUAAACGGGACAAAUCUGAGGGGGCAUGAAUUCUCAGAUAUUGAAAAACACACUGGAAUGUACUGUAGCUACUAGUUUGGAGAAUAAAGUGCCUUGUGCACCAGUGCCUAAAGAUAGACCUCAGGAACUCUGUGCUGAUUCUGUCAUUUUUUUUAGGAACUUAUGAACAGUACUUACAGUCCUAUUGCAUUAAAUGCACUUUUACCUGUUUCCAUAAUUUUAGCAGCAGAAAGUUAUCUCUGUCAAGAUGAGUUGAUCCGAUAUGUCAACUGGGAGUGUACAUGUUAUUUGUAUUUAUUUUUAACUGUUAUUUUACCAGGUGUGUUGACUGAGAAAACGUUCUCAUUUACAGCAAUGAUCUGGGGCCAUGCGUGUGAGGAGGAUAAAUCAGUCGGCAGCCUUUCAGAGAGAACUGAGGGAAUUAACUGUAUGACAACAGAAACCAGGAUCAACUGACAAAGUUCCUGCUGGAGUGUCGGAAUAUACCAAUCGCACGCACCCCCCCAUGCUGCUUCCCCCAUAUCACUGGGUUCACGGUGUUUGCCCUGCACCCUCUGGGCAAGCUGAAGGAGAUGGAUGAGAACAAAGACAUCUCAGCUGAUGGUGUCCAGUUUGUAAUUGACAUCUGAACCUACUCAUCCAGACCAGCUCUGUUGGAGAAAUUGUAUUCCGUUCAGACCACUGGGUGGUCUCUACUGGUCAGUGGACAGAACACUCACUUUAUAUUCCCUUCUGUUUAAUCCUGGUGGAUGAUUCAAGAACCGUUAAAGGCUCAGUUGAUCUGAGGCUAGAGGAAGAAUUCUGGGUAAAUUUUAAGGGUGGCUGUAUUCAGUCUGCUAACUGUGCCAAAGAGGUUAACUCAUUGUUCUGCUGAUUUUAUCUGAUGUACUUUUUAUUCUGUACACUAGGUACUUUAUGUUUUUACAGGAUUAAUUAAUGUAUAAUUAGUUUUGUUCAUGGGAACAAAUAUGUUCAAGUUGCAUUUUUAUAUGUGGUGUGUGGGUAGGCAGCCGAGUAUGAGGUGUUCUAGAGAUUUCUUCAAUUAUAAUCUCUGGGCCCUUUGACAGUGUGUGCUGUUCAGCUGCAGAAAAAAAUAAAUGAAAGAACUGAAAGAAAGGAAAAAGUUAAGGGUGCUUUGUGUGUUUUUAGUCAUGUAAUUGUUUGAAAAGACAAGGCAAUGGCCCGAGAAGGGUGGCGUUUGUGGUAUGUUUUGAAGUAACUCAUUGCCAAUGUAUAGAUAAUUAGUUUAGAGUAGGGAUCAACUAGAUUCGGCUGCGGGACAAUUUUGUUCCCACGAACAGACCUAUUUUACAAAAACGUAAUAAUUUCAAACCUUGCUUACGUUUGUAUACGAUCACAUAUCUCUCUAUUAUGGGUGGGAAUACUUUGAAACAGAUUUUCAAAAUUAAAAUCACUUGCAGCUGAUAUGCUGGUGUUUUUAGUCUUAUGUCCAACAAAACAAAUAUAAUAUACAGUGCCUUGCGAAAGUAUUCGGCCCCCUUGAA